UACGUAGGGUGCAAGCGUUGUCCGGAAUUAUUGGGCGUAAAGAGCUCGUAGGCGGUUUGUUGCGUCGGCUGUGAAAUCCCGAGGCUCAACCUCGGGUCUGCAGUCGAUACGAGCAAACUAGAGUGUUGCAGGGGAGACUGGAAUUCCUGGUGUAGCGGUGAAAUGCGCAGAUAUCGGGAGGAACGACCGGUGGCGAAGGCGGUUCUCUGGGCCUUACCUGACGCUGAGGAGCGAAAGCGUGGGGAGCGAACAGG
rnacentral:rRNA from 1 species